AUAAUAAAGAUUCGGCAGCACAUAUACUAAAAUUGAAACAAUACAGAGAAGAUUAGCAUGGCCCUUGCUCAAGGAUGACAUGCUGGAAGUUGAGAUGCAGAAAAACUCA